rnacentral:tRNA from 1 species
CAAUGCAUUAGAAUUAGAAUCUAAAUA